GACAGAGGAGCCAAGCGUUGUCCGGACUGACUGGGCGUAAAGCGCCCGCAGGCGGCCGUGCACGUGGGGUGUGAAAGCUCGCGGCUUAACUGCGAGAGGCCAUCCCAUACGGCGCGGCUCGAGCCGUCCAGAGGCCGGUGGAAUUGCCGGUGUAGUGGUGAAAUGCGCAGAUAUCGGGAGGAACACCUAUGGCGAAGGCAGCUCGCUGGGACGUUACUGACGCUGAGACGCGAAAGCGUGGGGAGCAAACAGG
rnacentral:rRNA from 1 species